UACGGGGGGGGCAAGCGUUGUUCGGAAUUACUGGGCGUAAAGGGCGCGUAGGCGGCCUGCUAAGUCGGACGUGAAAUCCCCAGGCUCAACCUGGGAACUGCGUCUGAUACUGGAUGGCUUGAAUCCGGGAGAGGGAUGCAGAAUUCCAGGUGUAGCGGUGAAAUGCGUAGAUAUCAGGAGGAACACCGGUGGCGAAGGCGGCUAUCUGGACAGAGUCUGACGCUGAGGCGCGAAAGCUAGGGGAGCAAACAGG
rnacentral:rRNA from 1 species